rnacentral:rRNA from 1 species
GUCUGUAUGAAGUUACAUAGAGUCUAGCCUGCCCAAUGAAUUUUAUUUAAAAGGCCGCAGUAAUUUGACUGUGCAAAGGUAGCAUAAUAAUUAGUUUUUUAAUUGAAGGCUUGUAUGAAUGGUUGGACAAAGAAAAAUCUGUCUUUUAUACUAUCUUUGAAUUUUACAUUUAAGUGAAAAGGCUUAGAUAAAUUUAAGGGACGAUAAGACCCUAUAAAUCUUUACAUUGAAUUAAAAUUUUUUUAUAAAAACAUAAAAUUUAAUAAUGUUAUGUUGGGGCAACAAAAAUAUAAAAAAUAACUGUUAUAUAAAUUAUACAUUUAUUUAUGAAUAGAUAAAAGAUCCUUUUAAAAGAUUAAAAGUUUAAGUUACUUUAGGGAUAACAGCGUUAUUUUUUUUGAGAGUUCUCAUUAAAAAAAAAGUUUGCGACCUCGAUGUUGAAUUAAAAUUUCUCUGUGGUGCAUAAGUUACAAGAGAGAGUCUGUUCGACUUUUAAAAUUUU